AAACUAGGAUUAGAUACCCUAUUAUUUAGGAGCUUAACAUUGUAAGUAAAUAAAGAUUAUGAAAGCAAAAAAUUAUGGCGGUAUUUUAAGCUUUUCAGAGGAAUUUGCUCUUUAAUGGAUAAAACACCUAAAUCUUACUUAAAUUUGUUAAUUCAAUUUGUAUACCACUAUAAAAACAAUUUAUAACUUUAAUUGUUGAUAUUUAUUAAAUUAAAAUAUAUUAAGUCAAGGUGCAGUAAAAAUUUAAGGAUGAAGUGAAUUACAUUACUUUUUAGAGAAAUAAAUUUAAAAUAAUAUUUAGGAUUUGAAAGUAAAAUUAAAAUAUAAUGUUAAUUUGAAUUAAGCUCUAAAAUAUGUACAUAUCGCCCGUCACUCUUUAUUAAGAUAAGUCGUUACAUAG
rnacentral:rRNA from 1 species